CCUACGGGAGGCAGCAGUGAGGAAUAUUGGUCAAUGGGCGUAAGCCUGAACCAGCCAAGUCGCGUGAGGGAUGACGGCUCUAUGGGUUGUAAACCUCUUUUGUAAGGGAAUAAAGUGCGGGACGUGUCCCGUUUUGAAAGUACCUUAUGAAUAAGGAUCGGCUAACUCCGUGCCAGCAGCCGCGGUAAUACGGAGGAUCCGAGCGUUAUCCGGAUUUAUUGGGUUUAAAGGGUGCGUAGGCGGCCUGUUAAGUCAGCGGUGAAAGUUUCGGGCUCAACCCUGGAAUUGCCGUUGAAACUGGGAGUCUAGAGUGUGUGUGAGGUAGGCGGAAUGCGUGGUGUAGCGGUGAAAUGCUUAGAUAUCACGCAGAACCCCGAUUGCGAAGGCAGCCUACCAAGCCAUGACUGACGCUGAUGCACGAAAGCGUGGGGAUCAAACAGGAUUAGAUACCCUUGUAGUC
rnacentral:rRNA from 1 species